GUGUGAAAGCAGGGCUUAGUGAUCCGGCGGUCCCGUGUGGAAGGGCCGUCGCUCAACGGAUAAAAGGUACUCCGGGGAUAACAGGCUGAUCUCCCCCAAGAGUUCGUAUCGACGGGGAGGUUUGGCACCUCGAUGUCGGCUCAUCGCAUCCUGGGGCUGGAGAAGGUCCCAAGGGUUUGGCUGUUCGCCAAUUAAAGCGGUACGCGAGCUGGGUUUAGACCGUCGUGAGACAGGUCGGUCCCUAUCUGUCGUGGGUGUACGAGAUUUGAGGAGAUCUUCCCCUAGUACGAGAGGAUUGGGGAGGACGGACCUCUGGUGUUCCUGUUGUCGUGUCAACGGCAUCGCAGGGUAGCUACGUCCGGGAAGGAUAAGCGCUGAAGGCAUAUAAGCGCGAAGCCCCCUUCAAAACUAGAUCUCGCAUGAGACUCCUGGAAGACCACCAGGUUGAUAGGCCGGGUGUGUAAGCACAGCAAUGUGUUCAGCUGACCGGUACUAAUAAGUCGAUCGGCUUGACCGCU
rnacentral:rRNA from 1 species